UGCGGCAGCAAGGAACCAGCACCUGCCUGCUGCUCCCCCAGUGAGCUUCCUGUGACUCCGUCGCGCUCCCUGGCCAGGCCCCAAAGCUGCACAUUCACAACCAGGGCCCAGGAACCAUCUUGGCUGGUCAGCACCCCCAGCCACAGCUGCCAACCCUGCCUCACUCUCUCCCUCACCCUGGAGGCCUCAGUCUUCGCCUUCCACCCCCGCUGGCCCCAUAGAUUUACCUGCAGGCAGCUGGGGGAACUGCUCUCACCAUUGCCUGGCUGCAUUUCUGGGCAUGUGUAUGUGUACGCAUGCACACAUACAUGUGGCGCCCCCUGCAUCCCACUCUCCCCAGCCUCAAGCAGCCCCUUGGAAGCUGGAACUCUGCCAGCCUGCAAGGGGAAACCGACCAUUUACUGUGGUUUUCUUCUUCAAAGGAGAAAAUCCAUGUUUUUCCAUGGUGAAUGGAAAACCCAGAUCCCUGCACAUGAUACUGGGACAAUAGUUGAGUGUGUCAAGGGGAAUCUGGGACAAAUGCUGUACCAGAGUCAUUCACCCUGGGACUGGGACUUGAUGUUUAUAUUUUGGGACUGUCCUGCCCAAUUAGGGAUGGGUGGUCACCCUAGCAAAAGCCUGUGCAUGCCACUUACUAUUUUGAUUCUAGUUAAAACCCAGGACAGUCAGGAUUAUCUCAAAUGAGUCUUCUGUCUAUAGCCUUGGUGUAAUAAAUAUGCAGGGGAGAGGUGUAAAAACGUAGUUAAUUACAUAGUUUAGAUUUGCCAAGAGUGUGUUAGAUUUAGCUUCUUUCAUUCAUUCCUGUAAGAGGUGUUCCCUUGAAACACAAUGAAGUCAAAGCAGUAAUGGGUGUGUUUUGUAUCUGGCACGUUUUACAAAGCCAAAGCUCUAGGGUCCUUGCAUGCUUACAGUAUUUUGCAUUGCAGUUGUCAUAUUGCAGGUAGGUAUUACUGAGGAUCCCAAAAAUAGUUGCUAUGACAUUGCUUAUUCUGUGGGCAAAGAGAAGUUGGUUAUCUCUUAACAUGAAAUAUAACUUGUUACUUCCUCAAAAAUCUUGCUAUAUUCUCUUGCAAUCUUUUCUCAAGGGAAUCCAUGGGGCCCAGCUGAAUUUCACAGUUAUUUUACACCAGCAGAAGAGACUGGUACAAAGUCUGUGCAAAUGGAACAAAGUGGAGACUGGAAUGCUACUGAUUAAAUUUUUGAACUGCUGACUCUAUUGUCCAUACUAAAUUCUUUUGACCACUCUUAUUUAGAUAUAGUAGAUCUAAUAAACUGUAUGUAUACCUAGACCUAAUAAAAAGCAUCCAAAUUGAAAAUAAUAAAAUGUAUUAAACAUAUCUUUCCAACAAAGACCUGACAGACAAAUCAUCAUCAUUGUAAACCACCUUGGGCCGGAUAUAAAUUUAAUAAAUAGAUACAGUCUAACACUUUGCACUUCUACUACAUACAUACUCAUAUGCAUUUCAUCCUAGAAUCACAAAGGACUUUCUAAAGUAAUGUAUUUGGCUGUGUUUAGGCAUCCUCUGUUUAAAUGUCAUUACCUGGGUAUAAAACUGAACUGCUGGAAUUAUGUGUAUCCAAGAAAGUGCAAGGUAUAGCACCUAGAUUACCUUUAGACUCAUCUUUUAACUUAACUUGUAAGUCCGUGUUUUGCAGAAAUGGAUUGUUGGCUUUGCUGGCUGUGGUGCACUUUGUAGAAGAUGAGCAAAUUCCCAAUACACUGUACUCUACCUAAACCUCAGUUGGAUUGAUCUAUUUCUUUUGCUUUGUACUACAGCAAAAAUGCCAAACAGAUAUCAAGGCCCCAUUGUGCUUACAAAACAUGGGUUUUGCUAUCCAAACAUAAUAAGCAUCUUAGAAACCUAACAUGUUGGUAUAAAACUUAUGUGGUAAUCUGGCCAUUAUAUUGUAAUACUCUCUAAUUAUUUCAAAUGGUAUAAUAAUUUGAAGAUACAUUUGUUAAAAUUUCUGGGGUUGUUGUUUGUAGCCAUGUUGCUCUAAGGACAUAGACAGACAAGGUUCUUUGGGUAGAUGUGAUAUAUUUUAUUAGACCAACUAAAUAGUUUGAAAAAUUGCUCUUUGCAAGAUUUCAGGCACAAACACCCUUCUUCAGGCAUAAGGAGAACAACAUUUCUGGGUCUUUAAGUUCUGGGUCUUAAGUUCCUUCCUUUUAUGGGCAUUUUAAUAUAUGGUAAAUAUUAAUAGCCAUAUAAAGCAAACUUCAUUGUAGUUCUUCACAGGUGGCUGACUUGAUGUCAUCCUAUGUCAUAAUUAGCAGCCUUUUCAUUUUUAGCCUGAGUGCCAGUUCAGCUCACAAAUAUUGAUACUAUCCAAGACAGACUGGCUGUUUCCAGAAGAGCAGGUGCCACUUCAGCUGCAGAGAACUUGCAAGCCAGAAUCACAACAGGAAAUGGCAACUGUCAGACGCAGCAGGAGCAGGAGCAGGAAUUGCCACUGGAUGCGUGGAAGCAGGCGUCGUGGGGGGAGAUACAGAAGGAGGAGGAGGCAGCGAUAUGGCAGGAAGAGGAGAGGCCGCAGAAGUCAGUCAAGGAGAAGGAGGAGGAGGAGAGGGAGAUAUUAGGCUACAAAUGGAUUCCUGUGCCCAAAUUUGGCACAAAAUCCAAAAAGUUUUUAAAGUAAUUGGUCACCUUCUCCAACUUCAGCCAGAGCAAAAUCACAUCAACAUCGAAAAAGUCCUCCCAUCAAAACCCCAUCAGAGACUUUCCAAGACAUAAGGAGUCUGCUACUAUUUGACCCAUGCCUUCUGUCAAUAAACUCUUGGAAUGCCA